rnacentral:SRP_RNA from 1 species
UCGUGCUAGGCGGGGAGCCAGCGGUGCCCUGAACCCGAAAUCCGCUCUAGCGGGGCCGAAAGCCCAGCAUGAGGGCGGUCCUCUUGUAGCGUGCCCUUUCAGGCUACGCUGUGAAGGCUGGGUCCCGCGGGGUGCGAUCCCGCGAACCCCGUCAGGUCCGGAAGGAAGCAGCGGUAAGAGGUGCAUCUCGCUGCCGUGGGGUAGCCUGGCUGGAGCCGAACCUGAAAGCAAGCCACUGCGAGAGCCGUCCCGAAGUCUGGGGCACGA